UAACUUGAGAGUUUGAUCCUGGCUCAGAAUCAACGCUGGCGGCGUGCCUAACACAUGCAAGUCGUACGCGAAAGCGGCCUUCGGGCCGUGAGUAGAGUGGCAAACGGGUGAGUAACGCGUGGGUGACCUGCCUUCGAGUGGGGGAUAACCUUCC
rnacentral:rRNA from 1 species